rnacentral:SRP_RNA from 1 species
GGCCGGGUCCCAUGCAGACCGAGACCGCGAACCUGGUCAGGCGGGGAACCGAGCAGCCAUAAGCGUGCCGCUUGGUCGUGCUGUGGGUUAACCCGGCCACC